CCUGCUUCUAGAGGCCUUGCAGAUGUGGCUGCUGUGUCACAUGUGUGUCAGUAGGUGGCAGAGAAGAGAGAGGCUAUGUCCAUGCUCAGUGUCUGACCUGUGGACAUCAGAAUGAUUAGUAGACUGAAGAU